UAUGCAGUGUGGUUUUAAGGAGGCAGAGUGAUGGUUUUUAAAAUGCAAAUUCAAACGAGGACCAUUGCCUAAUAGCCCUCGGGCUAAUGUGCAUGAUAUAUGAUUCCUUCAGCUGUGAUUAUUAAACGAGCCGCAGACAGAUGAUUUUUUUCACACAGUCUAAACGCUGUGAUUGGAGAUACAAUCCUGAGAGUCGUCUCUUGUUAGUUACACCGCUCAGUAGAUUUAUUUAAGGUUGUCUCCGGCCUACGUGGUUGUAUAGUGUAUGAGCACACACGCGGAUGUUGUGGACCACAUCCUACUGCAAAUAUCUUCUCAUCUCCCGCUGUGUGUGUGUGUCACAAGCAGUGUGCGGUGCUUUGAAGAUGUCCUGUAGUUUAUUUAACAUGUUACAACACAACACUGACAUGUCACUGUCGUUAAUAUGCUAGCAUGACAAAUUAAUAAAGUAAAUAGUUGAAACAGUUGAAAAUAUCUGAACUUCAAGGCGUUCAUUAUCAGUUCAUUUAAAAAAGACCGACUCAUGCAGACAAAACCUAUUUAGUUUUGUUAAACUUAAAAACGACUAAAUUAGUAAAUUUUUCUGCCUCUGAUGUUCCCAUAUUUCCACACCAUCUGUGUCUCUUUCUCACGCUCUCUCUCCCUGUCUCCCCACACACGCAUGCGUCAAGCGCAAUAGCUCCCAACAAGACGAUUUCCAUCAUAUCUUCCUUUACAAACCCUGAAAUUAUCGUUAAAAAUGCCUGUUUUUGAUUAGGGAGAAAAAUCCCCCUCACCCCGACCUCACAGAACAAUGUAGCCCACAGCUGAGGACGCCCCCGACUUUUCCUUUUUUUUUAAGCGCCGAACGGAAGCCUGCAAAGAGAAAAAGCUCCUCAAAUCCUUACAAUCGGCAGACUGUGAUGUUCAUCAGCUUCCAUGAGGGCUACAUGCUCCUCCACUGAGACUGAGACCUGAGCCUCAAGACAUGCUGCAAAGCUCCACGAGUCAGAAUUUGCAUCCAGCAUCACGAAGAAAGAAAACAUUUGUUGGACAAAAAGUGGCUUGUACAAUCUGAGCUGGACUGUAGGUGCUGUAAAAUCAAAAACAGAGAUUACUCCAGUGUGAACUAAUGAAAAGAGUUGGUUAGAGAAUGGGGAAGCUUUUGAAGCCAGACACACUGAUUGAGAGGAGAAAAAUACAGUUCUAAAAAUCUGUAUCAGUCGAUGAUUAAUUAAUUUUGUUGAAUGAUCUGCUCUAGCCUUGUGAGAUAUCAGUUUCCAUUUCUUUUGCACUUUUAUGGAAGAUCUCAAGAGACUGCCGGUUCAAAAGACGGUUCAAUUUAGAGUCCCGAUGGGAAAUGGUUUCAGAAAGUCUUUUCCUUACGUUUGGCUUUGAUGUGUUUAAACUGUCGUAAUCUUACUGUUCGGAGAUGAGGAAAAUAAAUUCUGUUCAUUUCUCAAUUGUAA